UGCAAGUCGAGCGGUAGAGAGAAGCUUGCUUCUCUUGAGAGCGGCGGACGGGUGAGUAAUGCCUAGGAAUCUGCCUGGUAGUGGGGGAUAACGUUCGGAAACGAACGCUAAUACCGCAUACGUCCUACGGGAGAAAGCAGGGGACCUUCGGGCCUUGCGCUAUCAGAUGAGCCUAGGUCGGAUUAGCUAGUUGGUGAGGUAAUGGCUCACCAAGGCGACGAUCCGUAACUGGUCUGAGAGGAUGAUCAGUCACACUGGAACUGAGACACGGUCCAGACUCCUACGGGAGGCAGCAGUGGGGAAUAUUGGACAAUGGGCGAAAGCCUGAUCCAGCCAUGCCGCGUGUGUGAAGAAGGUCUUCGGAUUGUAAAGCACUUUAAGUUGGGAGGAAGGGCAGUUACCUAAUACGUGAUUGUUUUGACGUUACCGACAGAAUAAGCACCGGCUAACUCUGUGCCAGCAGCCGCGGUAAUACAGAGGGUGCAAGCGUUAAUCGGAAUUACUGGGCGUAAAGCGCGCGUAGGUGGUUUGUUAAGUUGGAUGUGAAAUCCCCGGGCUCAACCUGGGAACUGCAUUCAAAACUGACUGACUAGAGUAUGGUAGAGGGUGGUGGAAUUUCCUGUGUAGCGGUGAAAUGCGUAGAUAUAGGAAGGAACACCAGUGGCGAAGGCGACCACCUG
rnacentral:rRNA from 1 species